CGGAACCACGGGCAAACUGAGGCGCUUUUUGAUUUGGCGAUAGCUUCUCGCCGGCACAACACCACCAGCUGCCGAGAACCACCAGCAAGAGGAUCUAUAGACACCAAGCGCGUAACGAUCAGAUGAUAAAAGUUGAGGCGAUCCUUUCGACGCGGGAAAAGCGAGGUUUUCGCCUGAGGUAAUCAACGACGUUCGGUGACCUCACGACCGAUGCUAGUACGCAUACGGUAAAAGCGUAAUCUAAUCAUCUUUUUCUGCGCGCAUUACAUCGGUCUACGUAACUGAAUCGAAAGGACACUUUCUAUUUAAUUGAACCUUCGAACUGGCUACUCUUCGCUCGAACGAAACGAAAGUGAAACAUCUUCCGAUCCGACUCGUUUGCAUCCCUUAUUCGAUUGAGGAUCGAAAAGUUCAAGUUGUUACACGGCACGUUGGCGAUCCGGAGUCGGAUUCUAAACGUACCAGAGAUCGAAACACAGUUUCCGGAGAAGUCAUCGUCGUUAGAGAUCAAGUAACACCGACGACACUUGAAAUGGCAUCCCCCGAGAGGCACACGCACGCGACUUUUCGAUUCGCGACGGUUGUAUCGAUGGAUUUCAGAAGCCGCUAACAUCUGUGCUCCUUCAGCUCUGCCACCUUUUAUAUAUACCGUCAGCAUACUCGACUAUGUGUACAAGGACGACUUUUUUCCCCCCUCUGAAAUCGACGAUCCUCACGAAGCAUCAGAUAAACUUCGCGUUCACUAUCCGGACGCUGUUGAUUCCUAAACUACAAGCGGAGUUUUCUACUCUUGUUUUUUUAACUUUUUAUUCUACGAUAAUUACCGUUACAGGUACAUGUGACACUGGUAGCUAAAAUGUUAAUAAAAAUACAUUUGUAGCGUUUUUUCAAUAUCUACGGCCUUAUUUUGGAGUACUUAUAAGCCAGUGGAAUUUAAGGGACUCUUGGUAUUAACAAGAUUAUGAAUCUAACGUACAAGAUAGACAAGCAAUUACGGAAUGAAGAGGAUUGAAUAAUUUUAUUUAUGAAGUUGAAAAAUGUCCAGAUACUAGAAGCUGCAAAUUAAGAUCGUCAGGGUAAUACGUAUAGCCGCGUCUAAGCGUCGUGUCAAAUUGGCAAAGAAAUUUAUUAUCUGAUCCGUGUACGCAUCUUGACACUGGUGUUAUUAGUAUCUGUGUACACGAUAGAAAUCCCACGGAAGAACGUAAAGACGUUUCAUCCACAACAGGUAGAAUAGUUUUAUCUCUAGCUGGGACAGUGGUGCGCUUGUCGCGUUCACAAUUAUUUUUCUUCCCAGCUGCGCGAAGACGUUUCGAUUUAUCGCCAUCCGUUUGCCACGCGAUUCAAAGGCCAACGUCGUUACGAUGGAUGAGAUUUAGCUCUUUUAAGGGCACACGGGCAAACAAUGCGAUCUCUGCACCGCUAAUAGGAUGCGUUUGCUCUUUCGUAGGUAGAACAGAGUCGAGUUGACAUUUUACCAUUUUAUUCCGUGCUUUCGUACCAAACCCAUCGCAUUCCGUGCCCGGUAGCUGAUCGAGCGAUCCCUUUCCUUCUGUUCUCGAGUGAUCGCGAUCAUCGAUCGGAGUCGAGCACGCUUCGAAGAUGAGAUCUAAGGGUCGUUGUUCUCUUGGUUGAUCGUUAGUAAAACGACUACAUACGUAUAUGGAAGAGAAAUAUCGUUGAGGUUUGAUUUUUUUUGCUGAAACGGGUUGCAAUUUAAAGAGGCAAUGCUCUGAACAUCCGGGCUCAAACCCGGUCUACUUAAACUAAUGACGAUCCGGAAGUACGUUCAAAUUUGAUAGAGAUGGUAUUGUUCGGAAACUUACAAAAAGGUUCGAAAAUUGUUUCGAAUUUUUAAACGACCUAUCUUCGAGAGCAUUAACGUGUAUUUGCGAAUCGAACGUUUAUGGGGGUUCAGUGAUUUCGUAAUCGAUUACCGAGGAGAGAAAGGACUUGGUUGCUUAGAAGGAAGAUACGUCCACGGUGAUUUACAUCACUGACUUUUCGAAACGUUGUUUCGUAGCUGUCCCUGGUUCUCUCCCUGAAGAGGAGUAAUUCAGGUGGAUAUUGGUAGGCUCAGCAGUAACAAAGAAAGUUUGUCUUUAAAGUUGUCAAACUUUCUCUUCCUUUCUCAAAUUUUUUUUUGCUACUUAACUCGAACAGAUGGACAAUUUUUCAAAUAUGAGCAACGUAAUACUUGGAUCAUUUCUGAAUCCUAUUUUUGAAAGGUGAAAGGGGAGAAUUUAUAAUUUUGUUCGCAUGAAAGGAUUAAAGUUGACAGUUUUGAUAUAACACGAGUGAAAAUUGAUAGCUUAAAUCACAAGGGAAAGCGUACAAGGAAGCCUUAACAGUUUUAAUUCCGAUGGUGUUGAUCGGCUUUGUUAAUGUUUCCAUUUUAAAGAAAAAAAAAAAAAAAUACGAACGAGGAUGGAAUUUUCAAAAGGAUGAUAUUUUCUUUUUCUCUCCUCUUCACGCACAGUAUACAUAUGAAUGUUUAACGUGCAUAUACGCGAGCGUGUAAACCUGUAACAUACACGAAAGUAGAUAGGUAAGCUCCUUUCUUCGAGAUUCACUCUCAUUUCGCUUGUUCCGAAACUGUGAGGACACGCGAGUAAAUUAUUCAGGAUCUUCUAUUACUUACAACUUUAUAUUACACUCUGUACCGUACAUACAUUGCAGCUGCGUACAAUGAAUGAAAAUAAAGGUUUGCCUCCUUUCUCUCUCACUCUUACUCUUGGUAAUCCAAACACAUCCGUCACCCCAACUAUUAUCGCUGCGUAAUUUCAUAAAUAUCUGUGUUUUCUGCCCCGGCGAUCUAGGAAAAAUACGCGGAUAUGUGUAUUAAAAAAUAAUACAGGCACUCGUACAGGCAAACACUCGAAUCAUUCGCGCAUUUAAAACAAACUCGCGUUACUUCAUUUCUUCUCUUCCUUUCUUCGGCAACACGCAACUCGAAUUUUUCAAUCGUUACCGCAACGAAGAAAGGAGAGCGGAAAAACUACGCGAUACUCAAAACUUUCUUACAAUAGUUAAUUACGAGCGGAACCGAUCAACGGUUUCACUUUUCGACGAACAUCAACAAUGAUUGCAAAUAUAUGUACGUCGUAAAUCUCUUUCUCAUGAACAGGCGCGUUUAACCGCAUUUCAUUUUAAUUUUACGCCAUGUACAAUACACGAUUAAAUAGAACAAUAAAAAUCGAUCAAGCUGCGAAAAGGACGUAUUGAAAUAAAAACGCGUUUGGCAGAGAAGCAAUAAAUAAUAAUCGUCGUACGUGUAAACGCGGUCACUGAUAGACUGCGGAUGUCUAUGAAAAUAUGGAAUUUUUAUAUUCUGUCUUUUAACACGUUCUCUACCGUAAUUUGAGGUUUGUGAUCCAUCAUUUGGAUCAUAAAUAAGCAUCAUUAAGGGGUUUUCUUCUGUUAACUCCUUCGUAGCAAAGGGAUCUAAAAGUAUCAUUUUAUUUCCCAGCUUUUUCCACAUUUUCUUUUCUUAUACGUACCACGCAUCUUGAAUAUAUCUUUCUAUAUUUCUCGAUACAUCAUAAAUACAUAAACAUCCGUAAGUCUAGUCAUCAGAUUAAAAACAUUUCUCCUUAAAAAUUGAUCGUUCGUGCGUCGACAUUUACAAGCGCGCUGAUUCUCCCUUGCGUCGACGCGUUUCUUUGUGCCACUGCAGCAAUCGAGAAGUUGUUUUCACGUAGAGCACAGAGGAAAAAUCGUCUCUUAUCCGUUUCUUUCCUGUCUGAACAGCUCGGAUCGCCGUCAAUCACACGCGUACAAUUCAAAAAAUAUCACGAUAUUUACACAAUCUCGUACGACGAUCCUGAAUAGUUACCCACGCGGUUGGACUGUUGAGCGCCAGCUCGCCUAAUUUACAUAUAAAUCAUCAUCAUCUUAUCUUGCGUUUAUUUCGAUGCGAGGUGUAGAAAAUAUAAAGCGACCAAAGAGAAAAAGCGAUCAUAACGGACAAUUAGUACUCUGAUUUGUCGAAAAAAUACAGAGACCUGAAGUUUCUUUUCGUAUAGAGUCUCGCGCCACACGAUCCACGCGUACCCUUCUCUACAUUUUCUUUUUUUUUUUAACGUUAAAAAAUUUCGUAAAAGUUGCAUAUAGAGAUUUGAGUUUUAGUAAAAACGAGAGUCUACGAAUCUAUUGGUAUUACAUACAGAUCGAUGUCCAACGAAGUAUAGUAGCAUUUCCCCCCCCCCCCCUUCUGUUAACUUUUGAUAAAGUUUGAAACAUAAUUCUUGUGUGCAACUUGCUGCGGACUUUCACGCUCGCGUCAUCGGUCAUUCUUGAAAUCACGGUAAUUUUGACAGUAAUUAACCACAAUAGUAAAAGCAUUAUAAGCUAUACAACUACCAUUUCUGUAUCUACAAUAUAGAGUUUUAUGUAUAUUUAUAUAUAUAUUUUUUUUUGUUUCUUAUUCUCUCCUUUUUAAUAUAGUCUGUGUUAACUUUAUAGACACUCCUUCACUGUCUCUGAAAGGCUAUCAAGAGGCUCGGUGCUUUUCAUUGUUUUUUUUUUUUUUCUUUGCUUACGCAUGAUCAGGUAUCCUUCUUCACUGUUACGUCGAUUUUUUGAUCGACGAUGAAUCCCAGUAAUUCGUCGAAAUGACUUUUCUCGUACACGGUAUCCUUCUCUCUCGCAAAUUCGUGUAUUCAAAAGAGAAAACGCGACUUUUCUUGUCGUUUCUUCACAGGGAUAGGAAUAGGAAGCAUUGCGU